rnacentral:sRNA from 1 species
UACAGUAUAUGGGCUGCCACUAAUUCUA